rnacentral:miRNA from 1 species
CACUUCAACACUUUAACUCUUUAACACUUUAAAGUGUUAAAGUGUUAAAGAGUUAAAGAGUUAAAGUGU